CACGUAGGGGGCGAGCGUUGUCCGGAUUUAUUGGGCGUAAAGAGCUCGUAGGUGGCUCGGUAAGUCGGGUGUGAAAUUUCGAGGCUCAACCUCGAGACGCCACCUGAUACUGCUGUGGCUAGAGUCCGGUAGGGGAGCGUGGAAUUCCUGGUGUAGCGGUGAAAUGCGCAGAUAUCAGGAGGAACACCAGCGGCGAAGGCGGCGCUCUGGGCCGGUACUGACGCUGAGGCGCGAAAGCCAGGGGAGCAAACGGG
rnacentral:rRNA from 1 species